UACGCAGGGGGCUAGCGUUGCUCGGAAUCACUGGGCGUAAAGCGCACGUAGGCGGAUUGUUAAGUCAGGGGUGAAAUCCUGGAGCUCAACUCCAGAACUGCCUUUGAUACUGGCGAUCUUGAGUUCGGGAGAGGUGAGUGGAACUGCGAGUGUAGAGGUGAAAUUCGUAGAUAUUCGCAAGAACACCAGUGGCGAAGGCGGCUCACUGGCCCGAUACUGACGCUGAGGUGCGAAAGCGUGGGGAGCAAACAGG
rnacentral:rRNA from 1 species